AGUGAACGCUGGCGGUAGGCCUAACACAUGCAAGUCGAACGGCAGCACAGUAAGAGCUUGCUCUUACGGGUGGCGAGUGGCGGACGGGUGAGGAAUACAUCGGAAUCUACUUUUUCGUGGGGGAUAACGUAGGGAAACUUACGCUAAUACCGCAUACGACCUACGGGUGAAAGCAGGGGAUCUUCGGACCUUGCGCGAUUGAAUGAGCCGAUGUCGGAUUAGCUAGUUGGCGGGGUAAGGGCCCACCAAGGCGACGAUCCGUAGCUGGUCUGAGAGGAUGGUCCGCCCCCCUGGAACUUGGACCCCGGCCCGGCCCCCACCGGGGGGCCGCGUGGGGAAUUUUGGGCCAAGGGGGCGAAGCCUGCCCCGCCCUCCCGCGGGGGGGGAAGAAGCCUUUCGGUUUUAAAGCCCUUUUGUUGGGAAAAAAAAGGCGCAGGUUUAAUCCCCCCUUUUUUUGCGGUACCCAAAGAAAAAGCACCGGCUAACUUUCUG
rnacentral:rRNA from 1 species